rnacentral:rRNA from 1 species
AACCGACUACAUGAAGCUGGAAUCGCUAGUAAUCGCAGGUCAGCAUACUGCGGUGAAUACGUUCCCGGGUCUUGUACACACCGCCCGUCACACCAUGGGAGCCGGAAAUGCCCGAAGCCAGUGACCCAACCUUAGGGAGGGAGCUGUCGAAGGUGGAGCCGGUAACUGGGGUGAAGUCGUAACAAGGUAAC